GGAGUUCUGUGAAAAAUUACGCUCGACUUGAAAUCGGAUGUCCCAAAAGGACCGUGGGUUCGAAUCCCACCCUCUCCG
rnacentral:tRNA from 1 species